UACGUAGGGGGCAAGCGUUAUCCGGAUUUACUGGGUGUAAAGGGAGCGUAGACGGUUAUGCAAGUCAGAAGUGAAAGCCCAAAGCUCAACUUCGGGACUGCUUUUGAAACUGUGUAACUAGAGUGCAGGAGGGGUAAGCGGAAUUCCUAGUGUAGCUGUGAAAUGCGUAGAUAUUAGGAGGAACACCGGCGGCGAAGGCGGCUUACUGGACUGUAACUGACGUUGAGGCUCGAAAGCGUGGGGAGCAAACAGG
rnacentral:rRNA from 1 species